CUCAGAUCAUGUAAGAUUUUAAUGAUCGAACAGAUCAAAAUUUUAAACUUUUGCACUUAAAUUUUAUCUUAAUCCAACAUCGAGGUCGCAAACUUUUUUUUUUAUUUGAGCUAAAAAAAAAUAUUACGCUGUUAUCCCUAAGGUAAUUUUUUCUUAUAAUCAUUAUUAAUGGAUCAUUUAAUCAUUUAUUUAUGUUUAAUUUUUAAAAAAAGUUAAUUUAAUUUUUCUAUCACCCCAAUAUAAUAAUUAAUUUUAUUUUAAUAAAAAUUUUUAUAUAACUUUAAAAUAAAAAUAAAUAUAAAACUCUAUAGGGUCUUCUCGUCUUUUAAAAUUAUUUUAGCUUUUUAACUAAAAAAUAAAUUUCUAAAAAUAAAUAAGAGACAGUUUAUAUUUCAUCAAAUCUUUCAUACAAGUUUUCAAUUAAAAAACUAUUGAUUAUGCUACCUUUGUACAGUCAUUAUACUGCAGCCCUUUAAUAUUUAUCAGUGGGCAGAUUAGACUUUAAAUUAUACUCAAAAAGACAUGUUUUUG
rnacentral:rRNA from 1 species